rnacentral:lncRNA from 1 species
CACAAUCUGUUCCCUCUGAUCAAAUUGUAUCUCACUGUAUUUUAUAAAUGCUUAUUCAACUUUCCAGUCUCAAAACGAAUGCUACCUACUCUGCUAUCUUCUUAGCAAACUUAGCCAUCCUCCUUCCCAAGCUCUCACACUGCAGGUUGUACAUACCUUUAAAAAGAACCUAUGGAAUUAUGUUACAAUUGUUUUUCCUUGAGCAAACAUGUCUUCUUAACUUUGCACUCAAAGCCUACCUAAUGCCUAUACAAAGCAGUCGUUUGAUAUUUAUAGAAAACAUUAAUUUAGGUAUUAUUCUCUUUUUUAAGGUUUUCCCAUUUUUAAUUUACUUUUAUUUCCUAAAAUUAUAUUUUUCUAAAAAGCUAUAAAAUUUAAGAGUUUCUAAUUAUUGUUGGCUUUCUUUCAUUGUUUCAUUUUUACUGUAUGAUUAGAAUGCCUUCAAUUUUCAAAAUAUGUUACUACUAUCUCAUUUGUUUGCCUCUAGAUACUUCCAUUUCUUUUCAUUCUUCAUUUAAUCAAACUUUACCUUGGCUUUUCUACUUUUAUGCCUUAACUGUUCUGCCUCACUCUUACCACCAUUUUCUGCCUCUUCAACUUCCCUUUUCUCUUCGGUCAUGAGAACCACUUUGCUUACUCUCUUCUUCUAUUCAUUUAAUUUUACCAGAGUGAUCAAAAAUACUCUCAGAAAGCAAAUUUAUACAGGAGAGAGCUUUCCUAUUUUUACUCAUGAGUUUUUCACUUCCCACUUUACUUUGUAACUCCUGAAAAGUACACCAUA